rnacentral:rRNA from 1 species
CGCCGCCGACAAAAUCGCCGCUCCUCCUGUCUCGCUUUCUUUCCCCCUAAACUGGCGGCUAGGGUUUUCGCCGUUAUCGCCGCCGCCGCCGCCGCCUCAUCCCGGCUCUUCCAACACUGGCCAUUGAAGAAGGCAAGGUCUCCUCUUCGCGGCAAGGCGUGCCCUCCACCCGGCUGCGAUGGUGGUGGCAGAGGAGGGGGAGGAAGGGCCAGGGAGCGCGACCUCGCCACCGAGGAGGCAGAGCGGCUGCGCGGGUUCAGGCGGAGGAAGCGCAAGGAGCUGCGUGCCCUCAUCGCGGAGGUCAUGCGCGAGGAGGCGGAGCGAAAGUGUGUGCUGGAUACUUGGUCAGCCUCAUGUCUAAUUCCAUCAGAUGUAUCAGCUGAAUUGAGCCACUUCAUGGAUUAUAUUGGUGGCCCAUGA